rnacentral:lncRNA from 1 species
GCAAAACGAGCUAAACCCUGACAAACCAAACACAGAAGUAAGAGGAAGGAGAAGCCGAAAACUAAGCGAAAAAGGAGAAAGAGCUCGCGCACAAAAUCAAAGGAGCUUACUUGAGGUAAACGCUCAUCGGAGUCUCGCCGGAGUCGGAAGGUACCGGUGACGUCCUUCACCCUUUGUUCAACCUUGCGUAGGUAUCGUAACACCAUGUAGUCUCCGAUUGCGUGUAUAGUUUGAUGAUUGUGUUGCUUAUUCAUGAUUGAUUCUGAUUUAAGUAUAAACUAUGAUAGAUCCAUGAGGUAUUUUGAUGAUUUUGGGUUUGGAAUUGUUAUGUUGUUGUGUCAUUUUGUUGAAACUGCAUUUGUCUUGCCAAGGUAUGUUAGGGUUCCGAUGAUGAACAUUGUGUGUUCAUCUUUGAUUCUGGGUUUUAAGGAUUUUCUUUCUAAAUUUUGGGGUCCGUUCUUGUUGUGUUGGAAAGGAUGAUUUGGGUAAGGGUUUU